CUAAUUAACUGGUUACUUUAAACCGUGGGUCGGAACUCGGAACCGUAAGACAGAGACUUUUCCAAGCUUUGACGUCUCCGUCCAAUUUUUGAUUUUUCUCUCUUUCACUACGAAUCUCUAAAAAGUUUGGACACUGUUUCAUAGAUCUCGAGUCUCCCUCGACUACCUGGAUCACGUUUUCUGCUGGAUUUACGCGGAAUUUUGAGUCAGAUAUGAACUGGGUUCAACGCAAAAUCUACCUUUACAAUGUCACGUUCGGGCUCUACAUGCUUGAUUGGUGGGAACGAUACCUCUUCAAUGGUUUGGUGGUAGUCUUGAUGUGGUUCGUAGCUUACAACGGUACACGCUACUUUUCAGAACUCUUCAAAAGGCAUUUGACAUGAAAGCAGGCAGUGUUCCUGACACGGUAGAGCAUGAAGAGCCUGGAACCUCCCAAGGGCAUGCACGUCUAGUUUCAAGUUCAACAUAUACCUACAAAAACCUUUAUGCUGCUUCACCUCCCUUUCCGGCAUCUCCUCUGAUUAUGUUUUCCUCCAAAGUUCAUUGUCAAUGUAUCAUUUGUUUCUAUGUUUUUGGAACUGACAUAACUUAUUUAUUGAUGUAUAUCCAAUUCACUUUGAGACAUGACCAAACCAAUACUACAGUGUUUGUGGUGUC